ensembl:lncRNA
GGCCUGGCCAGCAUGGGAAUAAAGAUGUGUCCGAGCAGAAAUCCGACGUGCUCCACAGCCAGGAGUACCGAGACGAUUUCAGCUACCGGAGCGAGGACGACGGUCCGGACCAUGCUCAACGCCACCAGAAGGCCGUUCCACCCCGUUUCCAAAAGCAGCAGCAGGAUCAGGUGUAUAAGAUGCAGCAGUGGCAGCAGUCUGGUUCUGGUCCUGCUCAGAGGAGUUAUUACCCCCCUCACGUGCUCGGGUUUGACCCCCGCUGGAUGAUGAUGCCCCCUUACAUGGACCCACGCAUGACCCAGGGACGCUCGACUG